AAAUUGAAGAGUUUGAUCAUGGCUCAGAUUGAACGCUGGCGGCAGGCCUAACACAUGCAAGUCGAGCGGUAGCACAGAGAGCUUGCUCUCGGGUGACGAGCGGCGGACGGGUGAGUAAUGUCUGGGAAACUGCCUGAUGGAGGGGGAUAACUACUGGAAACGGUAGCUAAUACCGCAUAACGUCGCAAGACCAAAGUGGGGGACCUUCGGGCCUCAUGCCAUCAGAUGUGCCCAGAUGGGAUUAGCUAGUAGGUGGGGUAAUGGCUCACCUAGGCGACGAUCCCUAGCUGGUCUGAGAGGAUGACCAGCCACACUGGAACUGAGACACGGUCCAGACUCCUACGGGAGGCAGCAGUGGGGAAUAUUGCACAAUGGGCGCAAGCCUGAUGCAGCCAUGCCGCGUGUGUGAAGAAGGCCUUCGGGUUGUAAAGCACUUUCAGCGGGGAGGAAGGCGUUAAGGUUAAUAACCUCAUCGAUUGACGUUACCCGCAGAAGAAGCACCGGCUAACUCCGUGCCAGCAGCCGCGGUAAUACGGAGGGUGCAAGCGUUAAUCGGAAUUACUGGGCGUAAAGCGCACGCAGGCGGUCUGUCAAGUCGGAUGUGAAAUCCCCGGGCUCAACCUGGGAACUGCAUUCGAAACUGGCAGGCUAGAGUCUUGUAGAGGGGGGUAGAAUUCCAGGUGUAGCGGUGAAAUGCGUAGAGAUCUGGAGGAAUACCGGUG
rnacentral:rRNA from 1 species